UUUAUAUGAUGAUAUUUAUCUUCAUGGUCCGUGUUUUUGAAACAUUUGUGAUAAUAAUGAAGUCCUGAGCAG